rnacentral:lncRNA from 1 species
GUAUUCCUCCGGCUGUUUUGGAAGCUAGAGCAAAGGUUAAUGAGGAAAAGGGAAAGAGGAAACUUGAGAAGGAUCUUGAAGAGGAGAAUGGUGGAGCUGGUGUUUAUUCUGCUAACUUAAGGAAGCAUUAUAUAUUGGCUGAUGAAGAGUGGAAGGAGGACAUUAUGCCAGAGAUUCUUGAUGGGCACAAUGUGUAUGAUUUUGUUGAUCCCGACAUCUUGCUGAGGUUGGAAGAGUUGGAACGAGAAGAGGGUCUUCAUCUUGAAGCAAACGCAGAUGAAGAAGAUUUUGAGAUGGAUGGAAAAGAAUUGACUGAGGAAGAGCAACAGCUUCUUGCUGAGAUCAGACGGAAGAAGAACUUGCUCAUCCAAGAGCAUAGGAUGAAGAAGAGCACCGCUGAGAGCCGUCCUAUUGUGCCGAGGA